rnacentral:rRNA from 1 species
GACAGAGGGUGCAAACGUUGUUCGGAAUUACUGGGCGUAAAGCGAGUGUAGGCGGUCUCGUAAGUCGGGUGUGAAAGCCCUGGGCUCAACCCAGGAAGUGCACUCGAAACUGCGAGGCUAGAGUACUGGAGAGGUUGGUGGAAUUCUCGGUGUAGAGGUGAAAUUCGUAGAUAUCGAGAGGAACACCGGUGGCGAAGGCGGCCAACUGGACAGAUACUGACGC